rnacentral:lncRNA from 1 species
GGUUAAAUCAUACUAGAGAUCACAUGAAGACAUUCUAAAAUCACACUAUAAAAAUUGCUGAUAUAGGAGGAAAGGCUUACAAGAAUGUCUUUCAAACCCUUUUAUCCAACAAGUUAUUCAUCUUUUACUUUUCUUUCUUCCAACCUUAUCCUCUAUGAUACUAUUUUACUUUCUAAAUGAAUACAGUUUUGCCAUUUCGAUAGGACAAACAAUUUGACCUCUAAAAGAAACUUUGAAAUCCAAAAGUCUAUAAAGAAUUAAGGCCUGAAUUUAAGACUUAAGGCCAAUUCUUUAGACACAAUUCUCUACUUCUAAAAAUGCUAAGGUUGUAAUUUGGAAAAAACAGCAGAAUAAAGACUGCUAUGGGACCUCAAAUUUUAAAAAUUGUUUAACUGUGGUAUUCUAAAUUAUCAUACAAUCAGAUUAAGUUGGUGGAACUAAAACAGGGCGCAUUACCUCAAACAGCCAGCAUUUACAAGAACCAAAUUGAUUUUUUUUUCUUACAAAAGUCAGGCAACUUCCAAAUUAAGUCACUUUUUACCAUAUACCCUGGAGAAUAACAUGGCCCGACACACCACACGUCCCACUUAUCUAGUUCAAGCGAGUAACAUAACGUGAGAAACUGCACUGUGUAAUUCCUUUAUUUUCUGCAUAUUAGUGCUUUACCAACACUACAACCAUAAAGAACACAAUUCCAAGUACUGUACUUUUUAGUUUGGGGAGAUCACAGUCUACAGACUCAUUUACUUAUAUUAAACAAGAUUAACCUCAUUCAAAACUUACUGCAGUUUAUAAAUUCACAUAAAUACAGAAAUGGUACAUUUAAGAUUUAACAUGAGGGUUUCAAGUUUCCUCCAGUUUAGGCAUUUAUACCUUUGUGCUUGUUUUGUUUCAGGAUGUUACUAUAGCAUUGAUAUUGGAUAACCCAUAUUUAUAUACUUUAAAAUGCAAUCAUUUGAAACACUAAAAAUUACAUUUAUGGUGGAGCUUUGGAAAUUUUAGAAAGCAACCAGUGUUCUUAGAUGUGUUUAUCAGCCUCAUUUCUAGAGCUCUUUCUACUAAAGUGAAACUGAGAACUUCGUACUUUAGUUGUAUCCUGAAAUCAAAAAAAUCCCUCUGCACCAACAGGAGCCUACAUGAGAAUACCCUUUUGCAUCUGCUUUAAGUAAAAUGUUUGUUAAGAGUUUUACUUUGAAUAGUUCAUUUUUUUAUAGUCUUACACUUCUCAUACAUCUUUGGUAAAAGCUCCAUUAUACAAUAUGGCCAAAGUGUGAAGGACCAAUACUGUCCAACUAUACCAUGAUAUCCCGCUCAAUUUUAGUUUUCAGACACCCUCAUAAACAAAACCCACUCCACCUUUUCCUGUAUACUGCCUUUGCAGUCUACAUUUCUGAAAUUCCCUAUUUAAUUCCUUGAGGAUCACUAAAAUUAAUCCUUAAGGCUAUAUAGGAACCAGAUGCUGCUUUACAAUUCUGCAUCAAGCAUUAACAUUUGGUUCAAAAUAUUAUCAUAGUGGUCGCAAUCCAGUUACUGGUCCUAACCAGCUAACCAAGUAAUCUUGUUAGGAUCUGGAUAUCACCAGCGAGCACACUGCUUACACAUGAAGAAAAAUAAGUUUACAUUCAUUGUCAUCUGUAGGUUCUUUCUCUUCAUCCUACGUCCCCUUUAAUAGUCAUCCCUCAAGUCUACACAUCAUUCAUUCAUCACGCUUCCUUCCUUAAAGGAGACAGUGUACUAUUGAACCAACAGGAUAUCUUUUUUAUUAUUUGCAUGAGUUAAUCCUACAAACAAAAUUAAAUACCUCUUUUAUAAAACAUCUUUUCCAGUGUUCUAAUUGAUGGAGAUGCGGAUCACUCAUCUAUAAAAAAUGACUUACAGCUUCAGCUUAAUCAGUUGCUAUAAUGUGAAAACAGGAAUGUGUAUUUUUUUCAACUAGGUAAAAGGUGCAACUGGAACAUAUUACAAUAUUACUCAUUAUUUGCCACUGUGGGCUAAGUUUACUAUACUGGUCUUAGAUAUAAAAGGUCACAUUUGAAAUUACUAAGUUAGAACUCAUAAGGAAGGGGGGGGAAGGCCUUAAAUAUAAAAGACAAACGGCAGUUUGAUUAAGCAAUAAUUUUCAGUUUACUAGAUGAAACAGACUUGCAACAUAGUCUGCAUGAAUGCAAAAUAAG